AUUGAACGCUGGCGGUAUGCUUAAGACAUGCAAGUCGAACGGUAACAGACCUUCGGUGCUGACGAGUGGCGGACGGGUGAGUAACACGUGGGAAUCUACCUUGUAGUGGGGGAGUAAGCCAGGGAAACUUGGACUAAUACCGCAUACGCCCUAAGGGGGAAAGGAGCAAUUCGCUAUAAGAUGAGCCCGCGUCUGAUUAGCUAGUUGGUGAGGUAAAGGCUCACCAAGGCGACGAUCAGUAGCUGGUCUGAGAGGAUGACCAGCCACAUUGGGACUGAGACACGGCCCAGACUCCUACGGGAGGCAGCAGUCGGGAAUAUUGGACAAUGGGGGCGAACCCUGAUCCAGCAAUACCGCGUGUGUGAAGAAGGCCUGCGGGUUGUAAAGCACUUUUAGUAGGAAGAUAAUGACGUUACCUACAGAAAAAGCACCGGCUAACUCCGUG
rnacentral:rRNA from 1 species